rnacentral:sRNA from 1 species
UGAAAGCCGAUACACUAAAUUCUAUA